rnacentral:rRNA from 1 species
GAUGAACGCUGGCGGCGUGCCUAAUACAUGCAAGUCGAGCGAACAGACGAGGAGCUUGCUCCUCUGACGUUAGCGGCGGACGGGUGAGUAACACGUGGAUAACCUACCUAUAAGACUGGGAUAACUUCGGGAAACCGGAGCUAAUACCGGAUAAUAUAUUGAACCGCAGGGUUCAAUAGUGAAAGACGGUUUUGCUGUCACUUAUAGAUGGAUCCGCGCCGCAUUAGCUAGUUGGUAAGGUAACGGCUUACCAAGGCAACGAUGCGUAGCCGAGCUGAGAGGGUGAUCGGCCACACUGGAACUGAGACACGGUCCAGACUCCUACGGGAGGCAGCAGUAGGGAAUCUUCCGCAAUGGGCGAAAGCCUGACGGAGCAACGCCGCGUGAGUGAUGAAGGUCUUCGGAUCGUAAAACUCUGUUAUUAGGGAAGAACAAAUGUGUAAGUAACUAUGCACGUCUUGACGGUACCUAAUCAGAAAGCCACGGCUAACUACGUG